rnacentral:rRNA from 1 species
AUUGAACGCUGGCGGCAGGCUUAACACAUGCAAGUCGAACGAGUGGCGGACGGGUGAGUACUGCUUGGGAAACCAGCUCAUGGAGGGGGAUAACUCCGGGAAACUGUAGCUAAUACCGCGUACCAUAGGAUGAGCCCAAGUGGGAUUAGGUAGUAGGUGAGGUAAAGGCGCACCAAGCCGCCGAUCUCUAGCUGGUCUGAGAGGAUGACCAGCCACACGGGGACUGAGACACGGCCCAGACGCCUACGGGAGGCAGCAGGGGGGAAGAUUGCGCGAUGGGGGCAAGAUGACGCAGCCAUGCCGCGUGAAUGAAGAGGGCCUGCGGGUUGUAAAGUUCUUUCGGGAGCGAGGCGUUAACGACAGAAGAAGCACCGGCUAACUCCGUGCCAGCAGCCGCGGUAAUAC